UUCUGUGAAUUGCGUUGUUGAAGAUUGGAAUGGAAGAGUGAGGUUCAGGUUGAGCUUUGAUGAGAAAAAAAUGGAUGAAAAUCCCCCAAAAUCCGAGUUUCUGAAUUGCAGUGUGAACUUAUAGUAUUAAAAAAUGUGAACUGGUUCUGCAGAAGGGUGUUUUCGGUUUUCCUGCAUUUUGCGUUCUGCUGCAAUGCGUUUCAAUGCGUUUCAAUUAUGCUGUGCUUGGAUUCAUUUUUUGUUUUAUUUGAAUGUGGAUAUGGCUUAUUAGAUGAAUGAAUAUUGGAAUGGUGUAUAGGCAUGUGGUUUUGUAUGUGGACAUUUGGAUAUGUAAUGGUUUUGAGUGGAUAUGGUAAUGGUAUCUGGAUAAUUGGAUUUUGGUUUUGCUAAGUGGAUUUGGAUGAAUAAAUUGAUAUUGAUGAAUAAAUGGAUAUUGGAUGGAUAA